AUUUUUUUUCAGAGAGAUGGCGCGUCGGUCAUGAAGAUAGGGAAAAAUCAGGCCGCGAAGUUGUUUUCAAGGCGGGGCUUUGUGCGUCGCCUGGCAACGGACUGGUUUUUCCACAGGCCGUGUGAGGUUGUCAACAUGGUCUCACUACAUAUGUAUUAAGGUCAUGCAAAACCAUUCGUCAGCCACAUUUACAGGACAAUCAUUAACGCACAUUUUGUGGUACAAAACAGAUUUUCUGUUUCGACAGUCUCAUGAGAUCUCGUGGCACGACUUUGAAUGGAUGGAAAUGGAGUCAUGCAUGCCAAAUUUUAUUUCCCUAACUUGUAAAAUGAUGAAACACCACACGAAAAAUGAGUUCCGUCUC